AUGAACGCUGGCGGCGUGCCUAACACAUGCAAGUCGAACGGAGUCGUUUUGGAAAUCUCUUCGGAGAUGGAAUUCUCGACUUAGUGGCGGACGGGUGAGUAACGCGUGAGCAAUCUGCCUUUAAGAGGGGGAUAACAGUCGGAAACGGCUGCUAAUACCGCAUAAAGCAUUAAAUUCGCAUGUUUUUGAUGCCAAAGGAGCAAUCCGCUUUUAGAUGAGCUCGCGUCUGAUUAGCUAGUUGGCGGGGUAACGGCCCACCAAGGCGACGAUCAGUAGCCGGACUGAGAGGUUGAACGGCCACAUUGGGACUGAGACACGGCCCAGACUCCUACGGGAGGCAGCAGAGGGGAAUAUUGCGCAAUGGGGGAAUCCCUGACGCAGCAACGCCGCGUGAUUGAAGAAGGACUUCGGGUUGUAAAGAUCUUAAAUCAGGGACGAAGCAAAUGACGGUACCUGAAGAAUAAGCUCCGGCUAACUACGUG
rnacentral:rRNA from 1 species